GCCGCAUUGAAGCCUGAACUCGAGUAGGGCCCAAGCCAGCCAGGAAGGAGGAGGCAGCCAGAGUGUUCUCUGCAGCAGAAGACCUCUUGCUGCCCUGCUUAACCCAGACCAGCAUUUGCCAGGUAUUUCCAGCCAAGAACAAAUCCUGUCACGUUCCAUCUAUCAACCUGCAAACUCAAUUGGGUGGUUUUUUUUUAUUUUCUAUGUACUUGGAGAAAAGAUCAAGAGGCAUAAUAAAAAAAGAGAGCAUUCUUUCCUUAUCUUC